GCGAAAGGGUGCGUAACACGUGGGAAAUUACCAAGAAGUAGGGGGAUAGCUUGGCGAAAGCCAAAUUAAUACCGCAUAUGAUCGCAAGAUCAAAGCCGGGGACCGCAAGGCCUGGCGCUUUUUGAGAUGCCCGCGGCCCAUCAGCUAGUUGGCGAGGUAAAAGCUCACCAAGGCUAUGACGGGUAGCUGGUCUGAGAGGAUGAUCAGCCACACUGGAACUGAGACACGGUCCAGACUCCUACGGGAGGCAGCAGUGGGGAAUAUUGGACAAUGGGCGCAAGCCUGAUCCAGCAAUGCCGCGUGUGUGAAGAAGGCCUUCGGGUUGUAAAGCACUUUUAUCGGGAGCGAAAUACUAUCGGUUAAUAACCGGUGGGGCUGACGGUACCCGAGGAAUAAAGCACCGGCUAACUUCGUGCCAGCAGCCGCGGUAAUACGAAGGGUGCAAGCGUUAAUCGGAAUUACUGGGCGUAAAGGGGUGCGUAGGCGGUUUGUAAGUCUGUCGUGAAAUCCCCCGGGCUCACCUGGGAAU
rnacentral:rRNA from 1 species